rnacentral:rRNA from 1 species
CACGUAGGGUCCGAGCGUUGUCCGGAAUUACUGGGCGUAAAGCGCGCGCAGGCGGUUAGUCGCAUCGGCGGUGAAAGCCCCCCGCUUAACGGGGGAGGGUCCGUCGAGAUGGACUGACUGGAGGCAGGGAGAGGGCGGUGGAAUUCCGGGUGUAGUGGUGAAAUGCGUAGAGAUCCGGAGGAACACCAGUGGCGAAGGCGGCUCACUGGGCUCCACCUGACGCUGAGGCGCGAAAGCGUGGGGAGCGAACCGG